rnacentral:lncRNA from 1 species
UUGAAUCCAAUAUGAGAGAAAUUGAACAACACGGAAGCAAAGAUUUCGGUAUGACAACAAUUGAAGUGGUUGAAGAGUGCAAGUUAUUCUAUUUUGCUGGACAAGAGACCACUUCAGUGUUGCUCGUCUGGACAAUGAUUUUGUUGUGCCUACAUCCAGAGUGGCAAGUACAUGCCAGAGAGGAGGUGUUGCAGGUAUUUGGAAAUGAUAAACCAGAUUUGGAAGGACUGGGUCGCUUGAAAAUAGUAAGUACUGUUCACAAGUUCUUUUCGAUAGUAUGUUUUGUGUCCUCAAUAUAGUGAUAUCAUAGGAUCCCCGAAGUUGAUAAAAAGUGAACCAAGAGCCCAUUUUAUAAAUAGACAAUUACAUGUUUGGAUAGAAGUAUAAAAGUUGAUUGUUUGGUAAAGAAGUGUUCAUUAGUUUUCUGCCAAGAAAUACUUAUAAGUUUGUCAAAGCUUUUAGCAAACACCCCUAAUUCUUCUGCCAACUUAUGCAAUACUUUUUCACAGGUGACCAUGAUCUUGUAUGAGACGUUAAGGCUAUUCCCCCCAUUACCAACAUUUGGUAGAACGAAUAAACAAGAAGUGAAAUUGGGAGGGCUAAAUCUACCAGCUGGAGUGAUACUCAUAGUACCUACAAUCUUAGUACAUUAUGAUAAGGAAAUAUGGGGUGAAGACGCAAAGGAAUUCAAACCAGAAAGAUUUAGUGAAGGAGUGUCAAAAGCAACCAAAGGACAAUUCUCGUUUAAUCCCAUUUGGAGGGGGGCCUCGAAUUUGCAUUGCACAAAACUUUGCGAUGAUGGAAGCAAAAUGGCAAUAGCAAUGAUACUACAAAGGUUCUCCUUUGAACUCUCUCCAUCAUAUACACAUGCUCCAUUUGCAGUAGUGACUAUUCAUCCUCAGUAUGGUGCUCCUCUGCUUAUGCGCAAACUCUAAUAUGAUAUUUUACACCAUUGGUGUUGUAUGUUGACAUUAUCAAAAUUUAUUGGUCAACUAUUCAUAGGUCUUCUCUGAUGAGCCUCAUUUGGCCUCUUGGUGGAGCAGAAGUUUCUUCUUAAAGUUGUGUAGAACAUAUAUAUAUAUAUUUCUAUUGCACGUCUAUGUUCAUUUUGGUUUGUCCAUAUGUAAGAAUCAACCAAAAUAAACUACUGCUAUGUUUCUAAAGUGUUCUGUACUUUCUUAUUUUCUUUGGCCUGUAUAUACUUACCUCUUCAUUUGUGUCUUAACCUCUAUAUACCAUGAAACAUACUUGAUAGUUUGAGACAUAAAUAGACAUCUUAAUCUGGCGUCAGUUGAAAUUUAACACUCCCAAGUUUGACGAUGCAUAUCUAGAUACCAUCAAAAUUUAUGUGUCACGUUAGCGUCGAAUGUCCACUAGACACACAGGUAAUGAGUUGAGGUGUCUAGAUGUACAUUUUCAAAAUUAAAGUAUUUCAAGAUAGUUGUUUAUCUAUGUAGUAUGCCACGUUAAGUUCUUUUUAUUUUCUUUGGGCCAUAACCUUAUUAUUCAAUUUGGGUCUCUAAACUAGUACUAACAUAUUUUGAUGGAAUCAAGAGAGGUCACAAAUCACAAUCACACAACUACUUUUGUUUUGUUUUUAUAAGUAAACGAGCCAUUUAAACAAUAUAUUUAUCUUUUUAACUAAAUAGUAUAUAUUACGUAGAUGCCCUAUCUUUAGUUUAGUAUUUUCAGAUCAUUAGUACACAAGUUGUAUAUAAAAUAUAUUGAAAAAGGUUGAAAAAUAACAAAGAUAGGAUGGAAACUAGGACAAAUGAAAUAAUAAAAUAAAGACAUAAUUGGGAUAAUGUAAGGCAGGGUUUGUCCUAUUGGUUGGACAGGACCAGAGACAGGACAGAAUUAUGAAAAAAAAAUACUUACUAAACAGGCAUAACAGGAGGGGUAAAAAUUUUUCAUUAAUUUCUCAUCGACGUUCGAUAUUUAUAUUAGAGCUUCAAUUAAUAUACAUCCAUAUUGCAAUCUAUGUCAAACUUUGAGAUCUCAAAUUAAAGACAGAGAAUUCUUAUUUAUCCAUUAAAUUCUUGAUAACGAUGAAUGGGCUAAAACCUGAGCAGAUUAAGAUUUUAUUUGGACAUGAUUUAAAAUCAGAUUGAAUUGAAAUUUUGAUUUCAUUAGUUGUAUGUUUUUCUUAAUAGAAAAUCCCACAAAUUAUGAAAACUAUAUAUAUAAAAAAAAUAAAACAAAUCAAUUCUUAUGCAAUCUUAUAGAAUGAGCCAUGAAGAGCUUACUUUCAUUCUCUGUGUUCUCAGAGAAAUUUGCUUGAUUCUGCUCGUCCUUUUGCUUAGUCCAACAAUAUGUUUCAGUAUGACCAGACUUCUUGCAAUACUGGCACUGAAAGUCACUCUUGGGAUGUCGAGUGUCAAUUGAAUUGACUUCUGCCUCUACCGCGGCCUCGACCUCGGCCACGAAAUCUGCCUCUUUCUCUACCUCUACCUCUGUCAGACGACUCCUCUUUCACCUGGAAUGCUUUUUCUUCAAUUUUCUCAUGAGACUUGUUUAUCCCAUCUUCAUGAGUUAAUAAAGAACCCAUUAAUUCAUCAAAUGAAUAAUCAGAUAAAUCCUUGGAUUCUUCAAUAGCAGCAACCACAUGCUCAAAUUUUUUUGUUAAAGAUCUCAACACCUUUGGCACAACAAUUUCAUCACUAAUAUUCUCCCCAUAUGACUUCAUGAGAUUAACAAUGGAAGAAACUCUAGACAUAUAAUCUUGAACAGAUUCAUUACUUUUCAUAAGUAAAGUUUCAAAAUCACGACGCAAAGUUUGUAAUUUUACAGCAAUUACCUUCUUAUCUCCCAUAUACUCUUGUUGCAGAAUUUCCCAAGCUUCGUGAGAAGUCUCUGCUGCUGAAAUUUGCGGAAAGAUAUCAUCAUGAAGGGCUUGUUGAAUCAGGAACAGCAACUUCGAGUCUUUCUUGCGAUUCUCCCGUAGCCGUUGUGCGUGGCCUUCAUCCGGAUCUGCAAAUUCACUCUCCACCAAGUCCCACAACUCUUGAGACUUGAAGAGAGUCUUCAUCUUAAGACUCCAAAAAUGAUAAUUCAUCCCUUUGAAAAUUGGAAGAUGUUGGGAGUUACUGUUAGAGUUUGCUGCCAUUGUUUCUCUGGUUUGUUAUUUCUGGGGCAAAAUUUUUAUAUGUCGUUACUCUUAAAACUGGCUCUGAUACCAGAUUUGUUGGAUGAAAAAGGCAAAAAUAAAUGAAAGAGUUUGAGAGACAGAAGGUUUCUUUUACUGCAAAACUUUCUUGCUUAAAAACCAAAACUCCUAUUGCCCUUUUAUAGGCUUACAAUUAACUACUAAAGCUAAAAUAAAGCAACACACAAAUAAUGGAAAACAUGAAAAAGUGGUAAACAUGGUCCACUACAAUAAGAAUAUAAUUUCAUUGACUAAGUAAAACAUAAACCCACUAAUCCUAGAAAAUAGACCCACAGACUGAUUUCUGCAAACUAAUUAUUUUUGAAGGAUUAGUCAACAAAGGUUAUAUCCACCCAAGAACGCUUCGUUCAAAUUUCAAAAUACACCUUUUUCAACUCAAAAAUCCCGCCCAAAUGACAUCCUAGAGCUUGAACCUCUUCUAUAAAUAUUUCCUCUGUUUUUAGUCAUAGGGGGAUUUUUUUUUUGGGUGAGAAAAGUGGGCAGAUUUUUUGAGUUGAAAAUUUUCUAAACUAAGGCAUAUAGAAUAGCUUAAGCAAGUGGUUAUAAAAAUCCAUACAAAAUAUAUCCGAAAGAGGAGAAAAGAGUUAAUUUUCAGGGCUUCAUCUCUUCUAGUUUGUUCGUCGUUGCUCCCCUAAGUUUACUCGAGUUCGAGUUACCGCCUGGUUUUCUCGUUUGCUGUCCGUAAUUCGAUUUUGUGGUUGAAAGAUCGUUGCUCAGCUCAUUUGCCGUCCCCAUUUCGCUGCAUUAAAAAAGGUACCAGUUUUCUCGACUUUUCUCGUCCUUUCUAUUUCAAAAAAAGGGAUAUUUUUGGGAAGUUUGUAUUAUUACUGAUGGUCGCCGAGUUCUUAGUAUAUCUAAACACCUUAUUUAUGACGUUUUUUAGUUAUUCUAUUGUCUGCCAAUGAGUGUUGUUUUCAUUCCUGUUUGUUCUGCCAAUUAGCUAUUUUCCCCUCUUUUUUCUAUGUAACAAUAAACAGCUACAAAGAUAAUUUGAUGGAGAUUUUGUCCAACAUAAUUAUCAACAAUUAGUGUUUCAAUUUUGUUGGUAUAUACAUGGAGAGUGUUGAAUUGGGCAUGGUUUAGGCCAAAAAAAUUGGAGAAUAUCUUAAGGCAAAGAGGUCUAAAAGGAAAUCCAUAUAAGUUACUCUAUGGAGAUUUGAAUGAAUUCACAAAAAGUAUAGUUGAAGCAAAGUCUAAGCCUAUCAAUUUAUCUGAUGAUAUAGCUCAAAGACUCAUCCCUUUUUCCUCAACUCCAUCAACAAAAAUGGUAUAUGUUUCUUUUAUUGAUUCAGUUGGAAAGUAAACACUGCAACUUUGAGUAUGCACAUCUAAACACUUCAACUUGUCUCUAUUAUGUGAUGAUCAUUUAGACACGUGUAAUAUUUAUGUGUUACACUAGCGUUGGGUGUCUAUAAGACACAGUGGAGACGAAUUGAAGCGUUUAGUUGCUAGUUGAGACUAAGUUGAGGUGUCUAGAUUUGAACCUCAAAGUUGGAGUGCUUAUUUGUCAACUGAAAUCAAAUUUGAGUGUUUGUUUAUGUAUUAUGCCUUCUUCUUUUUUCUAAUCGGAAACAGAUUACUCGCAGGUAAAAGUUCUUUUGUGUGGCUAGGCCCAUAUCCAACAGUGUUGAUCACAGAUCCUGAACAUGUAAAAGAGAUUUUCACAAAGAAUUAUGUGUAUGUAAUGCAGCGUCAUGCCAAUCCAAUGACCAAGUUAUUGGCUGAUGGUCUAUCAAUCAUUGAUGGAGACAAAUGGGCCAAACACAGAAAAAUCAUCAAUCCCGUGUUCCAUGUUGAGAAGUUAAAGGUUCUACUUUAUUACUCCUUCCGUUAUAUUUUAUGUUGUGGUCUUAAGCUAAAGAUGUGUAUAAUAUAAUAUCAUUUGAAUCUUGUGGUCUAAACAUUCCAUGUAGGAUAUAUUAUAUAGAAAGAAACGUUCUUUGUUAAAGAAACUUAGAAGGGAAUUAUAACAAGCACUUGCUUGUUUUUACAUUUACAGCAUAUGCUGCCAGCAUUUUAUGUGAGUUGUAGUGAAAUGCUAAGCAAAUGGGAGGAAAUUGUUCCAAAGGGAACAUCAUUAGAACUCGAUGUAUGGCCAGACCUUCAAAUAAUGUCCAGUGAAGUCAUAUGUCGUACAUCAUUUGGGAGUAGCUAUGAAGAAGGAAGAACAGUAUUUGAACUUCAGAACGAACAAGCUGAGUAUGUAAUCAGAAUAGCAUGUUCAAUUCAUAUACCAGGAUCAAGGUACAACAAUUUAUGUACAUCACAUUUCCACGUUCGACACUUUCUUUUGUGCUUGCAAAAUCUCUCUGUAAUUAAAUAUGAAAAAUCUGAUCCUUAACAAUUUUUCUACUGAAAGACUUUUCUUGUAAUUUGAAUAACUUUGUUUAUAUAGGUUCUUGCCUACUAAAAUGAACAGAAGAAUGCUGAAAAUUGAAAAGGAAAUACAAACGACAAUUAGGCGUAUCAUUGACAAAAGAUUGAGAGCAAUCGAAGGAGGGGAGACUAGUAAAGAUGACUUAUUGGGCAUAUUACUUGAAUCCAAUAUGAAAGAAAUUGAACUUCAUGGUAGAAAAGAUUUUGGAAUGACUAUAUCAGACGUGGUAGACGAGUGCAAACUAUUCUAUUUUGCUGGACAAGAGACCACUUCAGUGUUACUCGUAUGGACAAUGAUUUUGCUCUGCUUACAUCCAGAGUGGCAAGUACGUGCCAGAGAGGAGGUGUUGCACGUCUUUGGAAAUAAUAAACCAGAUUUAGAAGGACUAAAUCGCUUGAAAAUUGUAAGUACUUUUC